UACGUAGGGGGCUAGCGUUGUCCGGAAUCAUUGGGCGUAAAGAGCGUGUAGGCGGUCCGGUAAGUCCGCUGUGAAAGUCGGGGGCUCAACCCUCGAAUGCCGGUGGAUACUGUCGGGCUAGAGUGCGGAAGAGGCGAGCGGAAUUCCUGGUGUAGCGGUGAAAUGCGCAGAUAUCAGGAGGAACACCUAUUGCGAAGGCAGCUCGCUGGGACGUUACUGACGCUGAGACGCGAAAGCGUGGGGAGCAAACAGG
rnacentral:rRNA from 1 species